CUGCUAAGGGUAAUGCCGUUGUCAAUGAUGUUCCACGUGACGGCGAGGCUGCUGAAAGCACACGUGAUGAAUGUGCUGCUGAAAUUAUUCCUCCUAAAGUGAGGAAAGAAAGGGUUGUUUGCAGGAAGAUAAAAGAGAAUUCACCUCUGGGGAAAGCUGCUGCUGCUGCUACUGCUGCUGCUGCCCAGGCCAGAGAUCCUUUGCAGCAGACAUACGCCCCAGGUGCCACUCAAGAAGAUGUUGCUGCUGACAAGGCUACAAAUCCUGUGCGGCGCAGCCCUCGUGUUGCUGCUACUGUCCAGUCCACCGUUGCUUCGAAACGAGUUUCAUCUCCUGGGAAAUCACAUCUGGGUCACCGUAAACGUAAGAUUGAUGUCGAUGAGACAUAUGUCCCAGAUUCCACUGAAGAUGGUGUUGCUGCUGGCAAGUGCAAUGCUAAGAAGAGUCGUACAGAAUUGGUUAGCGAUGAAUCAGACUUUG